CUCAGUUGGUUGUCUUCAUUAACCUCCAACAGUGGUGGUUGGCAUGGCCCUAGGUUGAAAAGUCAUCUUCAGGAAUUGAUGGGUGAAGAACAGGUUUUGAUCUUAACUCUGUGAAGCCUCAUGAGUACAAACUCAUUAUGAAUUGUGGUUGCAGGAGGUGAUAGUGCAGUAGGUUGGGUUUUGGGACUUCUCGGUACAGGCAACGACUUUUCAA